rnacentral:rRNA from 1 species
GAUGAACGCUGGCGGCGUGCCUAAUACAUGCAAGUCGAGCGAACAGACGAGGAGCUUGCUCCUCUGACGUUAGCGGCGGACGGGUGAGUAACACGUGGAUAACCUCCCUAUAAGACUGGGAUAACUUCGGGAAACCGGAGCUAAUACCGGAUAAUAUCUUGAACCGCAUGGUUCAAUAGUGAAAGACGGUUUUGCUGUCACUUAUAGAUGGAUCCGCGCCGCAUGAGCUAGUUGGUAAGGUCACGGCUUACCAAGGCAACGAUGCGUAGCCGACCUGAGAGGGUGAACGGCCACACGGGAACUGAGACACGGUCCAGACUCCUAGGGGAGGCAGCAGUAGGGAAUCUUACGCAAUGGGCGAAAGCCUGACGGAGCAACGCCGCGUGAGUGAUGAAGGUCUUCGGAUCGGAAAGCGCUGUUAUUAGGGAAGAACAAAUGUGUAAGUAACUAGGCACGUCUUGACGGUACCUAAUCAGAAAGCCACGGCUAACUACGUG